GGCAAGGACCUUGAUACUGUGAGGUUUGUCAACAUUAUGCCUACACUUGAAAUCUUUAUUAAUAUGCGUAAAUUAUUGACUCAAAUUCAUGAUUAAUUUAUGCGCAAAUACUUCUAACGCCAACCUUCACACGUAGGCCCGUGGCGGACUGGGCCAAGGGUGCUGGUGUAAAGCAGUUUUUGUUCAUCAGCAGCGCUGGAAUCUAUGUACGGAGUGAUGAACCUCCUCAUGUUGAAGG
rnacentral:misc_RNA from 1 species